rnacentral:rRNA from 1 species
AGGUGACCUGCGGAGGGAUCAUUACAAGUGACCCCGGUCUAACCACCGGGAUGUUCAUAACCCUUUGUUGUCCGACUCUGUUGCCUCCGGGGCGACCCUGCCUUCGGGCGGGGGCUCCGGGUGGACACUUCAAACUCUUGCGUAACUUUGCAGUCUGAGUAAACUUAAUUAAUAAAUUAAAACUUUUAACAACGGAUCUCUUGGUUCUGGCAUCGAUGAAGAACGCAGCGAAAUGCGAUAAGUAAUGUGAAUUGCAGAAUUCAGUGAAUCAUCGAAUCUUUGAACGCACAUUGCGCCCCCUGGUAUUCCGGGGGGCAUGCCUGUUCGAGCGUCAUUUCACCACUCAAAGCCUCGCUUGGUAUUGGGCAACGCGGUCCGCCGCGUGCCUCAAAAUCGACCGGCUGGGUCUUCUGUCCCCUAAGCGUUGUGGAAACUAUUCGCUAAAGGGUGUUCGGGAGGCUACGCCGUAAAACAACCCCAUUUCUAAGGUUGACCUCGGAUCAGGUAGGGAUACCCGCUGAACUUAAGCAUAUCAAUAAGCGGAGGAAAAGAAACCAACAGGGAUUGCUCUAGUAACGGCGAGUGAAGCAGCAAUAGCUCAAAUUUGAAAUCUGGCGUCUUCGACGUCCGAGUUGUAAUUUGUAGAGGAUGCUUCUGAGUAACCACCGACCUAAGUUCCUUGGAACAGGACGUCAUAGAGGGUGAGAAUCCCGUAUGCGGUCGGAAAGGUGCUCUACACGUAGCUCCUUCGACGAGUCGAGUUGUUUGGGAAUGCAGCUCUAAAUGGGAGGUAAAUUUCUUCUAAAGCUAAAUAUUGGCCAGAGACCGAUAGCGCACAAGUAGAGUGAUCGAAAGAUGAAAAGCACUUUGGAAAGAGAGUUAAAAAGCACGUGAAAUUGUUAAAAGGGAAGGGAUUGCAACCAGACUUGCUCGCGGUGUUCCGCCGGUCUUCUGACCGGUCUACUCGCCGCGUUGCAGGCCAGCAUCGUCUGGUGCCGCUGGAUAAGACUUGAGGAAUGUAGCUCCCUCGGGAGUGUUAUAGCCUCUUGUGAUGCAGCGAGCGCCGGGCGAGGUCCGCGCUCGGCUAGGAUGC